rnacentral:rRNA from 1 species
ACGGGGGCCCGCACAAGCAGCGGAGCGUGUGGUUUAAUUCGAUGCUACACGAAGAACCUUUACCAGGGCUUGACAUGUUAGAAGUAGGGACCCGAAAGGGCGACGACCUGUAUCCAGUCAGGAGCUUUCACAGGUGCUGCAUGGCUGUCGUCAGCUCGUGCCGUGAGGUGUUGGGUUAAGUCCCGCAACGAGCGCAACCCUCGUGCUAUGUUGAUUUCUCAUAGCAGACUGCCUUGUACAGCAAGGAGGAAGUGGGAUGACGUCAAGUCAGCAUGGCCUUUAUAUCCUGGGCUACACACACGCUACAAUGGGAAGGGACAAUAGGUUGCGAAGCCGCGAGGCGGAGCCAAUCCAGCAAAACUUCCCUCAGUUCAGAUUGCAGGCUGCAACCCGCCUGCAUGAAGUUGGAGUUGCUAGUAAACGCAGGUCAGCCAUACUGCGUUGAAUACGUUCCCGGGGCUU